UGUAGGCUGCCGGGCGGCACGGGGUCCCCUUGAGGUUUGUGGUAACAACUAAAGGGAGAGCAGUCAGUGUGGUUGUUUUCUUCAGUCAUGCUCAGCUGCCUGCAUAUAGGCACGGAGUCAGGGGAGAGCUGGCUUGAACUCAGCUUAGGGAUUUACCCGCUGAGCACGAUGAAGGGAGAGUGGGUUGAGGCAGGUAUACACAAGGAGUAACGCCAUGCUGGCCCAGGGAAGUUGGGUUAGGAGUGCAGGAGGUUGUGAAGGGGUGAGGGACAAUAAAAGGGUACCAGGAGCCGUGGUUCAUAGGUCCUGGUGUGGUCCAAGAAUGGCUGGAGCUGCAACACUGGAAAAGAUGAGCUGGAAGGAGAAGAGACCCUGGUCCGAGAGGGAGAUCUGAAGCAGAGCACAGUCACAGUUGUAGUGGGUGGUGAAGUCUAGGCAGCAGAUGAAUGGGGGGCCAGCUGAGGUGGGGUAGAACCAAAUCAACUUCCUGUUGUAGUUCACAUGCUGGUGUUCCCUGAAGCCCAACUCUGUGAAGCCUAGUUGGAUGUGGAAAGCACCAAGAACUGUGAUGGAAGCGGCUUUGGAAAGAGUCCAACUCAAGUAGAAUCUUCAAAGACUCCAGUUCAACCUCUAGAAAACUGCUGACAUGGUUUUGGAGAAGCCCCUAGAGAGGACUAGAGAAGCUGAGAAACCCUGUUGGGGGAAGAGUUCAAGCUCACCUGCAAAAGCCACACAGCUCAAGGACCAUCCUCGUAUCCCUGAGAAAAUGAAUCAAAGCAGGUAGACAGAAGUCAAGAAAAAUGGAGAGGGCUGGGUGUUCAAAACCACAUGAAGAAAGAUUUUUUAAAAAUUAAAACCUUUUUUUAAAA